GAGGGGGAUACAAUCGGCAAACGAAUGCUAAUACCCCAUAUGCUUUUGAGUGAAAUGGAUUUAUCCGCCUAAAGAGAAGCUCGCGGCUGAUUAGCUUGUUGGUAAGGUAAGAGCUUACCAAGGCGACGAUCAGUAUCUGGUUUGAGAGGACGAUCAGACACACUGGAACUGAGACACGGUCCAGACUCCUACGGGAGGCAGCAGUGGGGAAUUUUCCGCAAUGGGCGAAAGCCUGACGGAGCAAUACCGCGUGAGGGAAGACUGCCUAUGGGUUGUAAACCUCUUUUUUCAGGGAGGAAUAAAAUGACGUGUACCUGAAGAAUAAGCAUCGGCUAACUCCGUGCCAGCAGCCGCGGUAAGACGGAGGAUGCAAGUGUUAUCCGGAAUCACUGGGCGUAAAGCGUCUGUAGGUGGUUUAAUAAGUCAACUGUUAAAUCUUGAGGCUCAACUUCAAAAUCGCAGUCGAAACUAUUAGACUAGAGUAUAGUAGAGGUAAAGGGAAUUUCCAGUGGAGCGGUGAAAUGCGUAGAUAUUGGAAAGAACACCGAUGGCGAAAGCACUUUACUGGGCUAUUACUAACACUCAGAGACGAAAGCUAGGGUAGC
rnacentral:rRNA from 1 species